rnacentral:rRNA from 1 species
UACGUAGGUGGCAAGCGUUGUCCGGAUUUACUGGGCGUAAAGGGUGCGUAGGCGGACAUUUAAGUGGGAUGUGAAAUACUCGGGCUCAACCUGAGUGCUGCAUUCCAAACUGGAUAUCUAGAGUACAGGAGAGGAAAGUAGAAUUCCUAGUGUAGCGGUGAAAUGCGUAGAGAUUAGGAAGAACACCAGUGGCGAAGGCGACUUUCUGGACUGUAACUGACGCUGAGGCUCGAAAGCGUGGGGAGCAAACAGG